GGGUUGUGAGGUUAAGCGACUAAGCGUACACGGUGGAUGCCCUGGCAGUCAGAGGCGAUGAAGGGCGUACUAAUCUGCGAUAAGCGCCGGUAAGGUGAUAUGAACCGUUAUAACCGGCGAUACCCGAAUGGGGAAACCCAGUGUGAUUCGUCACACUAUCAUUAACUGAAUCCAUAGGUUAAUGAGGCGAACCGGGGGAACUGAAACAUCUAAGUACCCCGAGGAAAAGAAAUCAACCGAGAUUCCCCCAGUAGCGGCGAGCGAACGGGGAGGAGCCCAGAGCCUGAAUCAGCAUGUGUGUUAGUGGAAGCGUCUGGAAAGGCGCGCGAUACAGGGUGACAGCCCCGUACACAAAAGCGCAUGUGCUGUGAGCUCGAUGAGUAGGGCGGGACACGUGGUAUCCUGUCUGAAUAUGGGGGGACCAUCCUCCAAGGCUAAAUACUCCUGACUGACCGAUAGUGAACCAGUACCGUGAGGGAAAGGCGAAAAGAACCCCGGCGAGGGGAGUGAAAAAGAACCUGAAACCGUGUACGUACAAGCAGUG
rnacentral:rRNA from 1 species